CCUACGGGAGGCUGCAGUGGGGAAUAUUGCACAAUGGGCGCAAGCCUGAUGCAGCCAUGCCGCGUGUGUGAAGAAGGCCUUCGGGUUGUAAAGCACUUUCAGCGGGGAGGAAGGCGUUAAGGUUAAUAACCUUGGCGAUUGACGUUACCCGCAGAAGAAGCACCGGCUAACUCCGUGCCAGCAGCCGCGGUAAUACGGAGGGUGCAAGCGUUAAUCGGAAUUACUGGGCGUAAAGCGCACGCAGGCGGUCUGUCAAGUCGGAUGUGAAAUCCCCGGGCUCAACCUGGGAACUGCAUUCGAAACUGGCAGGCUAGAGUCUUGUAGAGGGGGGUAGAAUUCCAGGUGCAGCGGUGAAAUGCGUAGAGAUCUGGAGGAAUACCGGUGGCGAAGGCGGCCCCCUGGACAAAGACUGACGCUCAGGUGCGAAAGCGUGGGGAGCAAACAGGAUUAGAUACCCCUGUAGUC
rnacentral:rRNA from 1 species